UACAGAGGUCCCAAGCGUUAUCCGGAAUUACUGGGCGUAAAGCGCACGCAGGCGGUUCGCCAAGUUUGGAGUGACAGUUGUCGGCUCAACCGACAAAGGACUUCAAAAACUGGUGAACUUGAGGACGAGAGAGGAACAUGGAACUCCAGGUGUAGUAGUGAAAUGCGUAGAUAUCUGGAAGAACACCAAUGGCAAAGGCAAUGUUCUGGCUCGUUUCUGACGCUCAGGUGCGAAAGCCAGGGGAGCGAACGGG
rnacentral:rRNA from 1 species